rnacentral:rRNA from 1 species
GACGUGGGGGGCGAGCGUUGUCCGGAAUUACUGGGCGUAAAGGGUGCGUAGGCUGAUACUUAAGUCAGCUGUGAAAUUCCUCGGCUCAACCGGGGGUCUGCAGUUGAAACUGGUGGGCUUGAGUGCAGGAGAGGAGGGUGGAAUUCCUGGUGUAGCGGUGAAAUGCGUAGAUAUCAGGAGGAACACCGGUGGCGAAGGCGACCUUCUGGCCUGUUACUGACGCUGAGGCGCGAAAGCUAGGGGAGCAAAC